CAGUCAUUCCAUUAGUUUAAUACUGAGUUGUUCAGAAACUUCUCAGUCAGUAACAUGAAGAUCCAUUCCUGAAAAGCACUCAAACUGGACUUGAAUUUUUAAAAAAUGAAGAGUAGAAUUAGCAUAAAAUAUUAAAGAACCUCAUCAUUAAAAUUAUAUAACGAGACACUUACUUGUUUUCAAAUGCAACUGUUAUUGAAUCUUCAUGAACAUCCUUUACAAAUGCCUUGUAGAAAGCGCCAUUGGAGCCCCGCACUUCCACCACCAGCUCCUCCAUCUUCUCUUCAGCCCUGCUAGCGCCGGGAGCCCGCCCCCGAGAGGUGGGCUGCGGGCGCUCGAGGCCCAGCCGCCGCCGCCGCCGCCGCCGCCGCCGCCUCCGCCGCCGCCGCCGCCGCCGCCGCCGCCGCGCUGCCGCACGCCCCCUGGCAGCGGCGCCUCCGUCACCGCCGCCGCCCGCGCUCGCCGUCGGCCCGCCGCCCGCUCAGAGGCGGCCCUCCACCGGAAGUGAAACCGAAACGGAGCUGAGCGCCUGACUGAGGCCGAACCCCCGGCCCGCUGCGGGUGUAAACACUGAAACCACGUCACGUGAUCAACGCUGUUCCCUCCCCCCGCGGGCUCAGCCCCUCGGCCCCGCCCUCUCUCUUCAAGUGGCCUGGGAGCGCGCGCAUGCGCGCUGCUGGGAACCGGCCGGGGUGCCGGGUCGAAAGACAGACGCGCGGGCCGGGCGUGCGCGGGCUUGGUGGAGGGCGGGAAGGCUGAAGGGCGGUGACAGGUCGCACUGCCUCGCGAGGGCCAGAACGCCCAUUUCUGCAGAGGCAGAAGGUGAGGCGUCUACGCCCUCUCUCACCAGAUUUUGGGCGGCCCUGUGGAGACACCCUGUGCCCUUUAAGGGACAUGGAUUGAGUCGGGAUCUCAAAAUCUGCCUUAAUCCAUGUUCCCUUCGGGAUGCUGGUAUCCAACUGAGAAGUUGACGGAGCAUCUAUCGUGUGCCAGACACUGUGCUAAGUGCUAACGAGAAAUCGGUGAGCAAAACAGAAAAGAAAAAAAAAGAAGAAACGACUGCCAGCAUUGAACUUAGUACCUAGCAAAGUAGGUGGACAUAAAUCAAAUUGUCAGACAAGUAAAUGAGUAGUUGCAGCUGUGAUAAGGGGUAUGAAGAAUAGGCGCUUCCAUGAUGGCGGAACAUGACCUAGUCUGGGGUGGAGAAGGGGAGAUGAUUCCAGCUGGAAUAUGGCAGGUGAGAGUUAACUAAUAGCACUGAGUUGGCAGAGGCAGGAUGACCUGCCCCAGGCAGGUGCCCCAGAAUGAGAGGAUGUUGCUGCUGGUGGAACUCCAGCUUUAAAGCGGUGGAUCUAGGGCCACAUUCCUCAAGGCCAUAGCAAACAGGAAAGACCUUUUGGACUAGGGUCUUUGGAGUAGUCACAUGAGGCCAAGAACCCAAUAGGGCUGAAAGAGAAUCUCAUCAUAGGCUGAAUGGGAGCAGAGCAUUAGCUGCAACUCCAAUGUAUUAUAGUAAAAGGGGACACAUUGAUUAGAAUGAUUAUACCCCUCCAAGUGUAAGCUGUUGUUCAAUUUACCCAGGGCUUAAAAAUAUGUCAACUCUUCACAACCAUUUUUACUACAAGCCACACUCAACCUGUGUUGUUCCCUGAACCUGUGAUGCACUUUCAUCCGUUCAUGUCUCUACACAUCCUUCCUGGGCCCCAUAGAGGCCCUGCACCUUAAGGUUUUCAGCUGGAUUCCUAUUAGCUAGUUAUUUUAUCUCAGGUACAGAGAGUUAACUUUGCUCCUCAAUUUUCAGCACAUUGUCAUAUCAGUCCCUACAGGGUCCUUGUUUACAUUAUUUUAUAGUGUUUAUAUUAUUUUUUCCUCAUCUUUCUCGAUCCCCACUCUCAUUCUUCUAGACACAAGCUGCAAUAUGUUCGAUAGAGAUCCUUGAUAAUUUAACACAGAUAAUGUUUUGUUUAUGCCUCUUGCAUUUACAGAGAUGGUAUUGGACUGUAAAUCUCUAUUUCCCACUGUUUUACUCAACAGUCUGUUUUUGAGCUAUACCCACAUUGCUGUGUGUACACCUAGUUUGCUACCGAGUAUGCCAGAAAUUUUAUUCAUACAUAUCCCUACUGAUCGGGCAUCUAGGUUACUGCCAACUCCCUGAAGUCAUACUGUGGUGAAAACCCUUGUGAAUGUCUUUACAAACCUUUGCCAGAACUUAUUUUGUGCUCUUGUAGAACUUUGUGCAUACCCUCUGCUUCCUCAUUACACUGCUUGGCAUAUAGCAGAGACUCAACAAAUGUUGAAUACCUCUACUAUGAUGGUUAGUGUACUAGAAUAAUUUAUUUAUAUUUCUGUUUUCCUUAUUGGAUUAUUAGUACCUUCCAGACAGGGCAAAUGUCUUUUCUAUCUUUGUGUCCCUGGCACAUUAAAAGUGGUUGAUUUCAAGGUAUGUUCAAUGAAUGAAUAAAUACUUAUCUUCACUGCCAGUAC
rnacentral:lncRNA from 1 species